rfam:Ipomoea nil DNA, scaffold: scaffold2701, cultivar: Tokyo-kokei standard.
CUGACCUUAGCUCAGUGGGUAGAGUGGUGGACUGUAGCUGGACUAAUCUAAAUUGGAAAUCCUUAAGUCGCUGGUUUGAUUCCGGCAGGUUGGA